GCAAUUGACUGGAUAGCUCAGUUGGCUAGACUGUGGCACUGGUAAUGCCAAGGUUACAGGUUCAAUCCCUGUAGGGGACAGCUGCA